AUCCUUUUGUGGUUCCUAAGUGUAAUGAUUAGGUUUUCACACUCCUGUAAAAUGUGCCUCCCUCAGAACUUGUUAUGACAUUGUCACAUUACCCAUCUAACA